CAGUCGCCGCGGGAACACAGAGGGUGCGAGCGUUAAUCGGAUUUACUGGGCGUAAAGCGUGCGUAGGCGGCUUUUUAAGUCGGAUGUGAAAUCCCUGAGCUUAACUUAGGAAUUGCAUUCGAUACUGGGAAGCUAGAGUAUGGGAGAGGAUGGUAGAAUUCCAGGUGUAGCGGUGAAAUGCGUAGAGAUCUGGAGGAAUACCGAUGGCGAAGGCAGCCAUCUGGCCUAAUACUGACGCUGAGGUACGAAAGCAUGGGGAGCAAACAGGAUUAGAUACCCCUGUAGUCCCUGUCUCUUAUAC
rnacentral:rRNA from 1 species